UUCGGUCGGGAACUCAAAGGAGACUGCCAGUGAUAAACUGGAGGAAGGUGGGGAUGACGUCAAGUCAUCAUGGCCCUUACGACCAGGGCUACACACGUGCUACAAUGGCGCAUACAAAGAGAAGCGACCUCGCGAGAGCAAGCGGACCUCAUAAAGUGCGUCGUAGUCCGGAUUGGAGUCUGCAACUCGACUCCAUGAAGUCGGAAUCGCUAGUAAUCGUGGAUCAGAAUGCCACGGUGAAUACGUUCCCGGGCCUUGUACACACCGCCCGUCACACCAUGGGAGUGGGUUGCAAAAGAAGUAGGUAGCUUAACCUUCGGGAGGGCGCUUACCACUUUGUGAUUCAUGACUGGGGUGAAGUCGUAACAAGGUAACCGUAGGGGAACCUGC
rnacentral:rRNA from 1 species